AACGAACGCUGGCGGCAGGCCUAACACAUGCAAGUCGAACGCUCCAGCAAUGGAGAGUGGCAGACGGGUGAGUAACGCGUGGGAACCUUCCCUAUGGUUCGGAAUAGCCCAGGGAAACUUGGGGUAAUACCGAAUAAGCCCUUCGGGGGAAAGAUUUAUCGCCAUUGGAUGGGCCCGCGUCGGAUUAGCUAGUUGGUGGGGUAACGGCCUACCAAGGCGACGAUCCGUAGCUGGUCUGAGAGGAUGAUCAGCCACACUGGGACUGAGACACGGCCCAGACGCCUACGGGAGGCAGCAGUGGGGAAGAUUGGACAAUGGGCGCAAGCCUGAUCCAGCCAUGCCGCGUGAGUGACGAAGGCCUUAGGGUUGUAAGCUCUUUUGGCGGGGAAGAUAAUGACGGUACCCGCAGAAUAAGCUCCGGCUAACUUCGUGCCAGCAGCCGCCGUAAAAC
rnacentral:rRNA from 1 species